GGACGGCGAGCAGCUUGCAGGGACGGAAAACGGUGCUUGCGCGCGGGUAUUUAAAGGGCCACCACCAGAGUGAAUUCAUAAUUUCAUACGGCAAUAAAAUCCUGUUAAAUUGCGCAUUCACCGAGGAGUAGCUCUAUAUUCUAUCUACUCACGGCCGCACAUCGUCUGGUUGUGUGCACCGCUUUUCUCCGCUCACUACGACGUCGCCUUCCCUUCCCGGCUACAUCAUGCGCGCCCUCCUGAUCUUGUGCGUACUGCUGGUCGGCCUGACCGCCCUGGUCUCCGGCCGCUGCGGCACCGUUAACGGUGACGGGUGUGCCUGCUGCACCGACGACUACGACAUGUGUGCCAGCAAUCAGCCCUACGUCACGUGGUGCAACGGACGAUACACCCGCUGUGGGUGCUACGUGGGCCGGAAAAAACGCAGCAGCUUCUUCUCCAUGCUGGACGCUCAGUGAGACGGGCCGGACGCGCCAAAGGUCACAGGUUUGGGUGACAGGCAAGGCGAGCUGAUGUCCGACUCGAUACUGACAUUGAUUCAACGGCAACGUUUAGUUUAUGCCGGCAAUGCUAUCAGUUUUAAAAGAAGCGUAGUUAUCAAAGUACCUAUGAUUAUACAUAGUUCGCACUUCAUGUAAUUAGGCUGCGUAGUAACAGCAGAACGAGCACCUGUCGAUAGUCCCAUACUCAUUUGGUUUACCACUGUUGUGUAUGUAACUUGUGUCGAAUUUAAAUGGUGAAUGAAAAUGUUCCCGUAAUGGUAAAGACAAUUCUUCUUUAGUUCUACUACGAUUAAAAUAACCGGUGACCUUUUUGCCAUAUUCAAGAUUCUGCGAAAGGCCUUCGUUCAUAUCUAUUAGCUGCAAAGAUGUCAGCAGCGUAUUUAUAUAAUCCCUGUACUGGCUGCCGCCAGCCGGGUGGAGAGUGACGUUGCGGCAGUGCAUAUGGCUAAAUGGGCGCGAGGUACAUAAGCUCCGUGUACAGCCGCAACGUCACAUUCCUGCCGGCUGAGGGCAGCAAGUACUCUGUACAGGAAAUUUUGUGGAUUCGCUGGCUGACAUCCCCGCGUAUAUUGACUAGUGUGUAGUGCGCUGGCAUAAUGUGGCGUUUUUACAGUAGAAGCAUCGCGAAAAUGUAAAGUGAAUGAGGCUACAAUUUCUUCCUCCUUGCAUUAUUAGCCAAAACCAGUGCAACAUUAACCGUAUUACUAAGCGUGUUAACGACGUACAAUGCGCUCAGCUUAUUAUUCAAUAUUUAAAAGUUCCCUGUGGCGCCUGAACGCUCGUGAAUCGCGAUCGACUACAGAAGUGCAAACAGAACUGACAUAGCAAACGACGUAUACGGCAUAAACAGUUUACUGGCGUUGAACGAUAAAGCGUCAGAACGGGUUAAGAUGGUGGCCAUUCGGUAAACCAGCAGGCUUCCCGUCUUCUCGGAAUCUCGUGUUGCGGCAUAUCGUCAUGCAUCGUUCGCAGUUGUCAGAUCGUCGUAGUCGCGUACUUGUUUUUGACCUUGAGGCAUUUCGCACGGUAAUAGCUCGUGCAUGGUUUGCUGAUCCCGCGAUUACUCAAUGCGCAACACACUACAACUUGGCGGUAGCCGGUUGUGCUUUCCAUGUGGUUCAGUACUUGCUACGCUGGCAAGAGACGCUGCGUGGCAUCGCAGUAAGCGGCUGCGGUUUGGCUGGUUCUGCUUGCCGUUCGGUUGGGCUGAGUGUUUUCCACUGUUGCUUUUUCCCUGGAUGACUCACAAGUUCUACACCUCAGCUUCGGAAUUGCCCAAAAGCAUUUCCAGGACAGUGGACACCUACAGUGUUUCGCUCUGCCCAGAGAGCGUCGAAUAAGGGAAGUAUCCGGCCUGCACCGCUUUACAUAACUCCCAUUCCCGGCACGCCAUCCUGCCGUUCGCCGCGGAUUUCCGUCUGUUCCGUACGUCCAAUCCAGGAUAGUCCUCACUGCCUGCGCUAUCGUCCUCCUGCAGUACUCUCACCGGCUUGAGCAGGACCGACAGGCUCCCGGACGCCCGUGAUGCAGUGCCACUGGCCAUCAGCGGAUACCUCAACGACACGUGCGGUCCGGUGGACAGUUCUGCAGCGCUGCUAUAACCCUUACCGUCAGUUGCGGCCGGGAGCUUGGUCGGAAGAGAUCCCGCAACCAUGCCCGACGCCAUCCAGACACGUGGUAACAGGUCGUUGCGGGAAGUUCUCCUGGGGCGGUCUCUGGUGGGGUGCAACUCUUCGGAAGGUGGGUCUUCCGGAAGGAGCAUAUCGCUGAUCAUAGUGUUACCAGGUAAUCGGGUGGGGUCAUCACCGUCGGCACGAAUACCGUAAGACACCGGCUGAGAUGUGGUCGGAUCCGUUCUCUUAUCCGAGGUAAGUAGUUCAUCGGACGGCAUCAAAGGGAGUAGGUCCUGUUGGGAUUCAGAGACAGUGGGAAGAAUCGGUGACGCCAUGCUAUUCAGCAUAGACGCUCCUUCAGUUCCUGGAAGGGGCACGGGAAGGACUCCAUCAUCAUCUGCGGCUGGUAACAUACUACGGGGCCCCGAGAAAGUUUCUGGCCCACCGAUGGAAUUAACGCUGCGGGCAGGAAUUGUCGGCGGAAGGAACAACCAAUCCGUGUUUGCGUCAGCGUACCGGUCAGCGCCCUCAUCGGUCACUGGCUUAGCUCCGUCCUCGGGAACCCCUGGUAAAGUAGGCCGACCGCCAAUCAGCAUGCUAAAAAACGGCAUGAUCUUGAAAAUAUUCACCGAUCUCGGUAAUUCUGUUGCCUGGAAAAACUUUCGUUGGACACCCGGGGAUGUCAGGGGAACCGCUGCGGGGUUGAUUCCACGGUACUUACGAGAGGAUGGUACCGCGAAGACGCGUUCCUGGUCAGACGCCAACGAAAAGGAAAUGCGGUCCGCUAUCUGUCCCGGCAGGUCGGUGGGAAUCCGUCCAAAAGUUACGUCCGGCGUGUCGUGGAACACCGCGGUGGAAAUUCUUCCGGCAUUCAGCUGAGCGAAUUCGCUUCGAUCAAGCUUGGGAGCCAUGCCGCCGCCAACGAAAAAGCGGGGACUAUCGAAGCUCUUCGGCUGGACUGGCACCAGUUUUUGAAGUAACCGUCCUGGAGGAUUCGGAUGCUUCUCCGUCAGGGGCUGCCCUGGUACUGCAGAUGGUCCGCCCUGGAAAAGACCGCCUGGGCGCAUUCCCAUGUUAAGACUGUUGCCCCGCUGAUUGGCUGAGAUGUCUUCGGUAUCACUAACCGGGAUGGGGUUUGAUGGGGCAAACACCGUCUCGGUGACCAUCCUGGCUAGACCUUCGGCAGGAAUUCCUCUUCAUCCAUCAUUUCUCUGCCCAGCUGGUUGGGUUCUUCUGGAAAGACUAAUGGGAUAAGCUGGCUCUUCCUUACGACGGAUGGGAUUAUUUCGGCGGCUGUGAAGAGCGCCUCUACGGUAGGUCGUGCAAGAGCCCCUUUACGGUUGCUCAUUAAGUACGCUGAACGGCCGAAGCCGGUGUGGCGACUUCGUGGAAUAUUCAGCUUGCUGCCGCUGCUGUAAACCGGUGGCAAUGGAAGAAAUAUUUGCGCAAGCACCUGCAACGUGUACAAGUGCGGAUAACGUAGUAAGAGGUCAAGCAGCAUUCAUAGCAUAUUCACAUCAGCGGCGCAAAAAAAAUGCUAAUACACUGGCUUUACUACAUGGUCAAAAUAUAUUCGAAUAAAUUCCUCGAGACGGACUUUGUGUACACAGGGAUGUCAACUUACGUCUUCGGCGAAUGUAUCUACGUCGACGGUUCGAUGUUCCACCGGAUGAGACGGCAAUCCAGUGGAAUACGUAAAGGUCAGCGCCACAGCGAUGCAUGUAGGCGUCCACAUUGCAGCAGUAUUGUCGGAUCGGAAUAUACUAAUUAUCGUCCCACCAGAAAUCGUUAUGUCGAGACUGCGGAUGCUAGACGGCAAAGAAUCUCUUGCCGCUUUAUGUGGCCACGGCAAAACAUUAAUACUGCUUGCGUGUUUUGUGUGCCUGCAGGCGGAGACUACGUUGCAGUGCCACCUGGCGUUUGCUUGAGAUGAACAGCCUGUUGGGUUCAAUGCGCGGGAUGUUAAGGGAGGUCGAUGCCGUGUUGUGCUCAUGCCACGGAGUCAGCAUACAUCACAGCGGUCUCGUACUCUGGCCAUUCUGGAAGAAAGACGGCUUGCAUGGAGGACUUGUGUGCCAUCGGGACGCAGUUUAUGAUGCUCGAUUUCGGCUAUUUUUUUCGGCUAUGAUGCUCGUUUGCGGCUUAUGAUGCUAUUUAUAAUACUUUAGAAAUCUUGUAUCAAUAAAUUACUGUCGCCGUGUUUAUGUAAUGGUUUGCAAAUGUUUUCGGCUGAAAUGAUUUUUGAAAAAACCGCUAGAAUGUUUUUCCCUGAAACUUACUUUGCAUCCUUGGGAAGUCAGUAUUUAUGGUUAUAGAAGCAAAGUUAGGGAAAUAUUACA